rnacentral:rRNA from 1 species
AGGAUGAACGCUAGCGGCAGGCCUAAUACAUGCAAGUCGGACGGUAUUUCCCUUUCGGGGGAGAGAGAGUGGCGAACGGGUGCGUAACGCGUAUGCAACCUGCCCCUUACAGGGGGAUAGCCCGGGGAAACCCGGAUUAAUACCCCAUGUUUCGGACUGCCGGCAUCGGCGGUCCGCCAAAGCCUUCGGGCGGUAGGGGAUGGGCAUGCGUGGGAUUAGCUUGUUGGCGGUGUAACGGACCACCAAGGCUUCGAUCCCUAGGGGUUCUGAGAGGAAGUCCCCCACACUGGCACUGAGAUACGGGCCAGACUCCUACGGGAGCAGCAGUAGGGAAUGUGGCAAGUGGGCGAGCCUGACCCAGCCAUGCCGCGGUGCAGGGAAGCCGGCGUUCUGGACGUUAGUAAACGUCGUACUUUUAA